rnacentral:rRNA from 1 species
GUUGAACGCUGGCGGCAUGCCUAACACAUGCAAGUCGAACGAGUGGCGGACGGGCGAGUAAUUGCUGGGAAACUGGGUGAUCGAGGGGGAUAACUGCUGGAAACGGUAGCUACUACUGCAUAACAUCGGAUGUGCCCUGGUGGGCUUAGCUAGUAGGUGGGGUAACGGCUCACCUAGGCGACGAUCCCUAGCUGGUCUGAGAGGAUGACCAGCCACACUGGGACUGAGACACGGUCCAGACUCCUACGGGAGGCAGCAGUGGGGAAUAUUGCACAAUGGGCGAAAGCCUGAUGCAGCCAUGCCGCGUGUAUGAAGAAGGUCUUCGGGUUGUAAAGUACUUUCAGCGGGGAGGCGUUACCUGCCGAAGAAGCACCGGCUAACUCCGUGCCAGCAGCCGCGGUAAUUC